AGAUUGAACGCUGGCGGCAGGCCUAACACAUGCAAGUCGAGCGGCAGCACGGGUACUUGUACCUGGUGGCGAGCGGCGGACGGGUGAGUAAUGCCUAGGGAUCUGCCUGAUAGUGGGGGAUAACGCUCGGAAACGGACGCUAAUACCGCAUACGUCCUACGGGAGAAAGCAGGGGACCUUCGGGCCUUGCGCUAUCAGAUGAGCCUAGGUCGGAUUAGCUAGUUGGUGGGUAAUGGCUCACCAAGGCGACGAUCCGUAACUGGUCUGAGAGGAUGAUCAGUCACACUGGAACUGAGACACGGUCCAGACUCCUACGGGAGGCAGCAGUGGGGAAUAUUGGACAAUGGGCGAAAGCCUGAUCCAGCCAUGCCGCGUGUGUGAAGAAGGUCUUCGGAUUGUAAAGCACUUUAAGUUGGAGGUAAGGCAGUUGACCUAAUACGUAUCUGUUUUUAGACGUUACGACUAGAAUAAGCACCGGCUAACUCUGUG
rnacentral:rRNA from 1 species